CCUGUUGCAUGUUCCACGUCUGUCGCUAAAUUUUGUGUGGGUGUGUCAACUCUUCAAUUUAUUUGAAAGACAUGUGACUAUUUAUGUUGGAUAACUUCACGAAAAGGAUGACUACUGCGUUUACCCCUGCUCUAAGUUGGCCCGGAUCUACAAUAGGUUGGUGGAUUUAGAUACAGCGGACUGAACUUUGGAAAUUGUGAUAACAAUAUGAUAUCUUAUUUAGAUGAUUCACUUCAGAGAUACAGCGGUCACCGUAAAAAAAAAUUAUUCAAUACUCCUCAAAGUUACCAAAUAUGAAAAAAAUAUUUUAAUAUUUUUUUAGGGCUCCUAACUUGAUGUAACCUCUUAAUUAUAUUUUUAAUAGGUUGCUUCUUAAACAUAAUUCUAGAAAAAAGUAAUACCCAUGAAAAUUGCUAUUGAUUAAACUUUCAAUGGAUAAAAAUUUAGUUUCAAAUAAAAAAACUAUAUAUUUUGCAAAGAAACUCUGAUACUCAUAGUUCUGAGGCGAGGGUAUGAAGGCAAAAAGAAAAAAAAUAGAUAAAUAUAAAUGUGAUCAUUGAAAAUCUUAGUAGAAAGAGAAAGUUAGAAAGAGUAUAUGUUAUAUAUAUUAUAGAUUUAUGAUAGUAGUGGUUAUUUCCGGUUAUAUUUUCUGGAUGAAAAAUAUAAAAGAAGGACCAGACUUCGUAGAUAUUUUUUAAUCACAAGAAACGAUAUAUGCAACGUAUUCGAAACAUAUGAAAAAGCACUACCAUUCGCAAGAUGACUGAAGUCUAUGAUAGCUCUAAUGGAACUGCUGAAUAUAUUAGAAGCCAAACAUCAUCAUAUCCAUCAUAAAUAACAGAAAAAUGCGCGUAAACUGAACUUAAUCGUCAAAUUGUAAAAAUAUUUAAGUGCAGAAAAGCUGAAGUUACUGUCGCCCUGGAAAACGUAUAAUAAUCACAAGUAGUUACUAACAACCAUUGAAAUGUUGUUUAGGGGAGGAUUUUGGGAUUACAUCACUACAACAUUUUGUAUAUAUAUUUUGAUGACAUCACUAGACUUAGUAUGAUGCUCAGUGAAGAUGGGAAUAAAAGUAAGCUAUGUAUCUCUACAUAUUUACAAAUAUACAUACACAUAUCUAUGUAUGUAUAUAUGUUUUUGGACUUACGAAAAUAUUGAACAUGUUCAUCUCACAUCGAGGGAUAAAGAAUAGUUGGACAGUAUGAUUUCAUAUGAGAAACCUUAAAUGUUAACCCACGUUCUUCUUUAGUUUACAGUACCAGAGAAUUGGAUGCAGAAUCAAAGUACCCAUGAAUAACAAAAACAAAAGAGAAAUUAGUUUUAAUAAUAAAU